rnacentral:rRNA from 1 species
UACAGAGGGUGCAAGCGUUGUUCGGAAUUAUUGGCGUAAAGCGCGUGUAGGCGGCUUUGCAAGUCGGGUGUGAAAGCCCUCAGCUUAAACUGAGGAAGUGCGCCCCGAAACUGCAGAGCUUUGAAAUACCGGAGAGGAUGGCGGAAUUCCCCAAGUAGAGGUAGAAAUUCGUAGAUAUGGGGAGGAACACCGGUGGCGAAGGCGGCCAUCUGGACGGCUAUUGACGCUGAGACGCGAAAGCGUGGGGAGCAAACAGGAUUAAGAA